UAAUAAAGCGGCCCUUUUGUGCGCGCCUCCUCGUUCUCACCCCCGCCCCGAGCCCAGAGGAAUCGCCGCCUGAUUGAAUUACGGUUCAUGAAUGCGAGCUGCUCCACUCGCUUCCUCCGGGACCCUGUCCAACAAGUGGCGUGGGGCCUCCCCGCCACCCGUGGAAGGGUGUGGUAAGACCUUCGGACUCCGGAGCCAAGGCACAUCGGAACCAACCCUCUGCAGCUGCCUGGCUGAGCACCAGAGCCUGUUUCCUCGUCUGUAAAAUGGGCCACAGCACCAGAGCCACUCCAAGCACUAACUGCGAUCCUAUACAAUGCCUGGCACACAGGGAGACGCUGGGUAAGCUGGCACUCCCUCCUGCUCGUCGCCUGGUGCUAUUGCCAAGCCCAGGGAAGGGAACAGAAGGAAUUGCCCAAUUCUGACAGCCUUUCCCUCCGCUUUGGCUGUGGAAGUGUAAAUACUCCACGGAGGACCUCCAA